rnacentral:lncRNA from 1 species
UUGGGUUCCAAAAGGAACCAUAUGUCCUAACUCUCAAGAACCCAAGCAAACUUGGGUACCCAAAAUAAAAUAUGAGGAUGUAGAUGUAGGUGUGCCAAGAUACCCAUGGAACAAAUAGAACUUUCAUAUAAAUGGGUGUUCUAGACACACGUCAAAAAAAAUGAAACUUAAAAUAUGCUUAUGAAAAGUAAUUAAAAAAUAAUAAUAAUCAGUAACCCUUACAUCUCAUCAUUAUUUUUGCUUUAGUAUUUGAUUAAAAUAUGAAUUGCAAGUAUUGAUCAAUUUUGUGAUAUAGAAAAUACUUUUGGAAAUAUAAUCAAAUCACUUCAUUUUAUAGUAUGCUUUGCUCACUAUUGGAUAAGUUGCUAAAUAAUUAAUCAAUUUAUUAAGAAUAACUCUAUGAAUUCUCUAUAUGCUUGAUUGAGUGUUUUUAUCCAUAGCAUUAUUGUUUAUUGAUCAUAGAUAUGAAAAUAUGUACUUGGUAUGCCUUUGAAUAUAUGCACUAUGAAUACCAAGAUUAAAGAAACCAUCUUUGGCAUAUAAAAUCAACUCAUGCUAGUAAGUACUUAAUCUCAAAAGAUCUUGCCAUUGGCUUACUUAGAUUAUCUUCUGAAAAGUCAAAGGUUNN